GUUUGAUCAUGGCUCAGAUUGAACGCUGGCGGCAGGCUUAACACAUGCAAGUCGAGCGGGGGAAGGUAGCUUGCUACUGGACCUAGCGGCGGACGGGUGAGUAAUGCUUAGGAAUCUGCCUAUUAGUGGGGGACAACAUCUCGAAAGGGAUGCUAAUACCGCAUACGUCCUACGGGAGAAAGCAGGGGAUCUUCGGACCUUGCGCUAAUAGAUGAGCCUAAGUCGGAUUAGCUAGUUGGUGGGGUAAAGGCCUACCAAGGCGACGAUCUGUAGCGGGUCUGAGAGGAUGAUCCGCCACACUGGGACUGAGACACGGCCCAGACUCCUACGGGAGGCAGCAGUGGGGAAUAUUGGACAAUGGGGGGAACCCUGAUCCAGCCAUGCCGCGUGUGUGAAGAAGGCCUUAUGGUUGUAAAGCACUUUAAGCGAGGAGGAGGCUACUUUAGUUAAUACCUAGAGAUAGUGGACGUUACUCGCAGAAUAAGCACCGGCUAACUCUGUGCCAGCAGCCGCGGUAAUACAGAGGGUGCGAGCGUUAAUCGGAUUUACUGGGCGUAAAGCGUGCGUAGGCGGCUUAUUAAGUCGGAUGUGAAAUCCCCGAGCUUAACUUGGGAAUUGCAUUCGAUACUGGUGAGCUAGAGUAUGGGAGAGGAUGGUAGAAUUCCAGGUGUAGCGGUGAAAUGCGUAGAGAUCUGGAGGAAUACCGAUGGCGAAGGCAGCCAUCUGGCCUAAUACUGACGCUGAGGUACGAAAGCAUGGGGAGCAAACAGGAUUAGAUACCCUGGUAGUCCAUGCCGUAAACGAUGUCUACUAGCCGUUGGGGCCUUUGAGGCUUUAGUGGCGCAGCUAACGCGAUAAGUAGACCGCCUGGGGAGUACGGUCGCAAGACUAAAACUCAAAUGAAUUGACGGGGGCCCGCACAAGCGGUGGAGCAUGUGGUUUAAUUCGAUGCAACGCGAAGAACCUUACCUGGCCUUGACAUACUAGAAACUUUCCAGAGAUGGAUUGGUGCCUUCGGGAAUCUAGAUACAGGUGCUGCAUGGCUGUCGUCAGCUCGUGUCGUGAGAUGUUGGGUUAAGUCCCGCAACGAGCGCAACCCUUUUCCUUACUUGCCAGCAUUUCGGAUGGGAACUUUAAGGAUACUGCCAGUGACAAACUGGAGGAAGGCGGGGACGACGUCAAGUCAUCAUGGCCCUUACGGCCAGGGCUACACACGUGCUACAAUGG
rnacentral:rRNA from 1 species